AUGGGCCCACUUGAUAUUUUGACAUUUUUGAAGAAGUGCUCCUUAAUCCAUCCUGAUGUUGUUAUUACAUACAAAAUUUUGCUAACCAUUCCUAUCACGGUUGCAUGUGCGGAAAGGAGCUUUUCUAAACUCAAAGUUUUGGACAGGAUUGACCUCCCGAGGUGGCGCACCGCAUUGACUGCACCACACUACACUGCUUGGCAUAGAACAGAGGAGCACAAGAGAAUAGAGACGCAGGCCGCCGCGCUGCCUGCUGCUUCCUCUGUUGGCCUUGAAAAAAAAAAUCUACACACAUGA
rnacentral:rRNA from 1 species